rnacentral:rRNA from 1 species
AUGGCGAGCGGAGGCGGCAAGGCGACGGCGUCGUCGUGGGCGGCGGCGAUGAGCGUGGGCGCGGGCACGGUGGAGGCGCUCAAGGAGCGGCACUCCGGGCUGUGCCGCUGGAACCACCACGCGCUCCCGUGCGUCUUCCAGCAGCGCGCCGGCACCUCGGCCGCCGGGAACGGCACCUGCGGCAAGGGCAAGGCGGCGCCCACUGCCGGUGGGGCGGCGGCGAGGAGGAAGGCGAGGCAGGAGCAGGAAGAGGAGCUCCGGACGGUGAUGUACCUCAGCAACUGGGGACCCAACAACUAA